UUCCCUAAUGACUGUGUUAUUAUUUGAUUUGAAAACAAUUGUAAGUAAAAUAAAUGAAAAAGUAUGCUUGUUAGGUGUCGUAAACUAUGAGGAAAAUACCAAAUGGUCUAUUUAGUCACUAAUCGAGAAUGUUGGCUAAGACGCAUCAGAUCCUGCUUGAUGAACGAAAACAGAAAGGGUUUCAAAAGUGAUUUUAGAAACACCUACAAAACUCAAAAUACAGUCAAAUUGCUAUAUUAAUUUUCAUCUCGCCAUUCCCUUUAAUUCAUUAUAACGAGUUUUCUUAAUUCAUUACAAAAUUUAUUUACCACUGACCCCUGAUGUAUAAUUAUUUUUAAUGUAUAUUUCAUGUAUAUUCAAAGCGUUUAUUCGUUUACUAGAUGUUUUCUUUGAGACGAGAUGAUAUAGAUAUAAUCAAACUGCACGAAGAAAUUCCAAAUGGAUGCCCAUAUUAUGAUUGGAAAGUUACAGAUACUCUGACACCAGAAGAAAGACAGGUAAAAGUUAUAAGGCAAACUUACAUGACACGCUUUAUUCAGGUUACUGCAUUGAUAUCUUUAGGUUACAUUUUGUACGCAUGCCUGGGUUUCAUAUCUGCACUGAUUUUGUAGUUUGAACUGUUUUUGUAUCAAUAAAGUUUACUGUUACUAUAAAUAGUUUAUUACAUA